UACGAAGGGGGCUAGCGUUGUUCGGAUUUACUGGGCGUAAGGCGCACGUAGGCGGAUCGUUAAGUCGGGGGGUGAAAUCCUGGAGCUCAACUCCAGAACUGCCUUCGAUACUGGCGAUCUUGAGUCCGGAAGAGGUGAGUGGAACUCCUAGUGUAGAGGUGGAAUUCGUAGAUAUUAGGAAGAACACCAGUGGCGAAGGCGGCUCACUGGUCCGGUACUGACGCUGAGGUGCGAAAGCGUGGGGAGCAAACAGG
rnacentral:rRNA from 1 species